rnacentral:rRNA from 1 species
GAUGAACGCUAGCGGCAGGCCUAAUACAUGCAAGCCGAACGGCAAGGUUUUCAGCAAUGGAGACCCUAGAGUGGCGUAAGGGUGCGUAACACGUAUGCAAUCUGCCCUCAACAGGAGGAUAGCUCCCCGAAAGGGGAAUUAAGCCUCCAUAGGAUCUUAGAGUGGCAUCACUUAGAGAUUAAAUUACCAGAGGUUGAGGAUGAGCAUGCGCAUGAUUAGUUAGUUGGCGGGGUAAAGGCCCACCAAGACGAUGAUCAUUAGGGGAACUGAGAGGUUGAUCCCCCACACUGGCACUGAGAUACGGGCCAGACUCCUACGGGAGGCAGCAGUAGGGAAUAUUGGACAAUGGGUGCAAGCCUGAUCCAGCCAUGCCGC